AUUGAACGCUGGCGGAAUGCUUUACACAUGCAAGUCGAGCGGCAGCACGGGGGCAACCCUGGUGGCGAGCGGCGAACGGGUGAGUAAUACAUCGGAACAUGCCCAGUCGUGGGGGAUAACACUUCGAAAGAAGUGCUAAUACCGCAUACGUCCUGAGGGGGAAAGCGGGGGAUCGCAAGACCUCGCGCGAUUGGAGUGGCCGAUGUCAGAUUAGCUAGUUGGUGGGGUAAAGGCCUACCAAGGCAACGAUCUGUAGCUGGUCUGAGAGGAUGAUCAGCCACACUGGGACUGAGACACGGCCCAGACUCCUACGGGAGGCAGCAGUGGGGAAUUUUGGACAAAGGGGGCAACCCCGAUCCAGCCAUUCCGCGUGAGUGAAGAAGGCCUUCGGGUUGUAAAGCUCUUUCGGCAGGAACGAAACGGUGAGCUCUAACAUAGCUUGCUAAUGACGGUACCUGAAGAAGAAGCACCGGCUAACUACGUG
rnacentral:rRNA from 1 species